rnacentral:rRNA from 1 species
CCUACGGGUGGCAGCAGUGAGGAAUAUUGGUCAAUGGGCGGGAGCCUGAACCAGCCAAGUCGCGUGAGGGAAGACGGUCCUAUGGAUUGUAAACCUCUUUUGCCGGGGAGCAACGGGGUCCUUGCGAGGGCCCGAUGAGAGUACCCGGAGAAAAAGCAUCGGCUAACUCCGUGCCAGCAGCCGCGGUAAUACGGAGGAUGCGAGCGUUAUCCGGAUUUAUUGGGUUUAAAGGGUGCGUAGGCGGGCUGUUAAGUCAGCGGUAAAAUGUCGGGGCUCAACCCCGGCCUGCCGUUGAAACUGGCGGCAUCGAGUGGGCGAGAAGUAUGCGGAAUGCGUGGUGUAGCGGUGAAAUGCAUAGAUAUCACGCAGAACCCUGAUUGCGAAGGCAGCAUACCGGUGCACAACUGACGCUCAGGCACGAAAGCGUGGGUAUCGAACAGGAUUAGAUACCCGAGUAGUC